rnacentral:tRNA from 1 species
GCGGCGGUGCCGGAGCGGUCAAACGGGGUAGGUUCAGGGCCUACUAGCUUAGUGCUUACGCAGGUUCGAAUCCUGUCCGCCGCA